GCCAGGCGUGGUGGCGCAUGCCUGUAAUCCCAGCUACUUGGGAGGCUGAGGCAGGAGAAUCGCUUGAACCCAGGAGGCUGAAGUUGCGGUGAGCCGAGACUGCACCAUUGCACUCCAGCCUGGGUAACAGAGCAAGACCCUGUCUCAA
ensembl:misc_RNA Metazoa_SRP Metazoan signal recognition particle RNA